rnacentral:lncRNA from 1 species
UCCAACAUAACUAUUGUCGUUAAAAAAUAUAAUCCUCUUUGGGCAUUAAAAUAAGAGGAAUUCCUCGCCAACAUAAUAUAUAAGUCUUGAGUGUAGCAUGGAUCAGCAAAAAAAAUUAGUACAUCUCAAACAUGGAAAUCUCAAAGCUCCUUAGUAAUCUGCCAAGAAAUUCCAUUUAUUUUUAUCAAUCUGCAGUUGAAAUAUCUUCUUCAAUGAACACCAAUAUACAUAGAAUUAGGAUGCACAUAACAAAAUUUGAAGAAAAAAAUUGGAAGAAAUAAGAAGAGUACUUUUCUUGUAGAGACAUGGUUGUUUCACAUCAGAUCGUACUGUUCCAGUUCUCUUCUGCAUAUGAUAGUUAAGAAUCACUAUAGCAUCAAUACUCCUGCAAGAACAUAGAAAUACCAAAAACGUUUGCCUUCAAAUUUUCACAAAGAAAAUAGCCAAAUAUCAUAACAAACGGCUUCGUUCGUG